rnacentral:rRNA from 1 species
GACGAACGCUGGCGGCGUGCUUAACACAUGCAAGUCGAACGGAAAGGCCCUGCUUUUGUGGGGUGCUCGAGUGGCGAACGGGUGAGUAACACGUGAGUAACCUGCCCUUGACUUUGGGAUAACUUCAGGAAACUGGGGCUAAUACCGGAUAGGAGCUCCUGCUGCAUGGUGGGGGUUGGAAAGUUUCGGCGGUUGGGGAUGGACUCGCGGCUUAUCAGCUUGUUGGUGGGGUAGUGGCUUACCAAGGCUUUGACGGGUAGCCGGCCUGAGAGGGUGACCGGCCACAGUGGGACUGAGAUACGGCCCAGACGCCUACGGGAGGCAACAGUGGGGAAUAUUGCACAAUGGGCGGAAGCCUGAGGCAGCAACGCCGCGUGCGGGAUGACGGCCUUCGGGUUGUAAACCGCUUUCGCCUGUGACGAAGCGUGAGUGACGGUAAUGGGUAAAGAAGCACCGGCAAACUACGU